AAAUUGAAGAGUUUGAUCAUGGCUCAGAUUGAACGCUGGCGGCAGGCCUAACACAUGCAAGUCGAACGGUAACAGGAAGCAGCUUGCUGCUUCGCUGACGAGUGGCGGACGGGUGAGUAAUGUCUGGGAAACUGCCUGAUGGAGGGGGAUAACUACUGGAAACGGUGGCUAAUACCGCAUAACGUCGCAAGACCAAAGAGGGGGACCUUUGGGCCUUUUGCCAUCAGAUGUGCCCAGAUGGGAUUAGCUUGUUGGUGAGGUAACGGCUCACCAAGGCGACGAUCCCUAGCUGGUCUGAGAGGAUGACCAGCCACACUGGAACUGAGACACGGUCCAGACUCCUACGGGAGGCAGCAGUGGGGAAUAUUGCACAAUGGGCGCAAGCCUGAUGCAGCCAUGCCGCGUGUAUGAAGAAGGCCUUCGGGUUGUAAAGUACUUUCAGCGGGGAGGAAGGUGUUGUGGUUAAUAACCGCAGCAAUUGACGUUACCCGCAGAAGAAGCACCGGCUAACUCCGUGCCAGCAGCCGCGGUAAUACGGAGGGUGCAAGCGUUAAUCGGAAUUACUGGGCGUAAAGCGCACGCAGGCGGUCUGUCAAGUCGGAUGUGAAAUCCCCGGGCUCAACCUGGGAACUGCAUUCGAAACUGGCAGGCUUGAGUCUUGUAGAGGGGGGUAGAAUUCCAGGUGUAGCGGUGAAAUGCGUAGAGAUCUGGAGGAAUACCGGUGGCGAAGGCGGCCCCCUGGACAAAGACUGACGCUCAGGUGCGAAAGCGUGGGGAGCAAACAGGAUUAGAUACCCUGGUAGUCCACGCCGUAAACGAUGUCUACUUGGAGGUUGUGCCCUUGAGGCGUGGCUUCCGGAGCUAACGCGUUAAGUAGACCGCCUGGGGAGUACGGCCGCAAGGUUAAAACUCAAAUGAAUUGACGGGGGCCCGCACAAGCGGUGGAGCAUGUGGUUUAAUUCGAUGCAACGCGAAGAACCUUACCUGGUCUUGACAUCCACAGAAGAAUCCAGAGAUGGAUUUGUGCCUUCGGGAACUGUGAGACAGGUGCUGCAUGGCUGUCGUCAGCUCGUGUUGUGAAAUGUUGGGUUAAGUCCCGCAACGAGCGCAACCCUUAUCCUUUGUUGCCAGCGGUUAGGCCGGGAACUCAAAGGAGACUGCCAGUGAUAAACUGGAGGAAGGUGGGGAUGACGUCAAGUCAUCAUGGCCCUUACGACCAGGGCUACACACGUGCUACAAUGGCGCAUACAAAGAGAAGCGACCUCGCGAGAGCAAGCGGACCUCAUAAAGUGCGUCGUAGUCCGGAUUGGAGUCUGCAACUCGACUCCAUGAAGUCGGAAUCGCUAGUAAUCGUGGAUCAGAAUGCCACGGUGAAUACGUUCCCGGGCCUUGUACACACCGCCCGUCACACCAUGGGAGUGGGUUGCAAAAGAAGUAGGUAGCUUAACCUUCGGGAGGGCGCUUACCACUUUGUGAUUCAUGACUGGGGUGAAGUCGUAACAAGGUAACCGUAGGGGAACCUGCGGUUGGAUCACCUCCUUACCUUAAAGAAGC
rnacentral:rRNA from 1 species